rnacentral:rRNA from 1 species
CAGCAGCCGCGGGAAAACGUAGGUGGCAAGCGUUGUCCGGAAUUAUUGGGCGUAAAGCGCGCGCAGGCGGAUAGGUCAGUCUGUCUUAAAAGUUCGGGGCUUAACCCCGUGAUGGGAUGGAAACUGCCAAUCUAGAGUAUCGGAGAGGAAAGUGGAAUUCCUAGUGUAGCGGUGAAAUGCGUAGAUAUUAGGAAGAACACCAGUGGCGAAGGCGACUUUCUGGACGAAAACUGACGCUGAGGCGCGAAAGCCAGGGGAGCGAACGGGAUUAGAUACCCCCGUAGUCCCUGUCUCUUAUACC